AAGUCGUAACAAGGUUUCCGUAGGUGAACCUGCGGAAGGAUCAUUAACAACAUAUCCUAACUUAAAAACCCUGUGAACUUUCAACCCCAAACUGCUUGAUCCCAGUACCUCAGCAAUCUCUGGUAAAUCAUAGUGAACAGCUUUGAUUCGGAGACCUCUGAAUAACCUUGGGCGGUCGCGGUUGGUAAGGCAAGUGACCCGGUACCCUCAAGACCAGUGUUCAAUGAUCUGUCAGUGUUCAUUGACUGGAAUCAAACGUUCUGUCAGUGUGCGUUUGAUUUGCAAGGGUGGCGCAGUAAACGAUCGCUGGAGGCCGACACGGCCGGCGACUGGGUCUGUUACUACUUACAAGAUUUCCCAAUUAGUGAAAGCUAUUGGGCUAUAACUAAACGACUGUUAACAAUGGAUAUCUCGAUUCUC
rnacentral:misc_RNA from 1 species